UACGUAGGUGACGAGCGUUAUCCGGAUUUAUUGGGCGUAAAGCGCACGCAGGCGGCAGAGCAAGUCUGACGUGAAAUCUCCCGGCUUAACUGGGAGCGGUCGUUGGAAACUACUUGGCUUGAGGCGAUGAGAGGGGUGUGGAAUUCCCGGUGUAGUGGUGGAAUGCGUAGAUAUCGGGGGGAACAUCAGUGGCGAAAGCGGCACCCUGGCAUUAGCCUGACGCUCAUGUGCGAAAGCGUGGGGAGCGAACGGG
rnacentral:rRNA from 1 species